AGAGUUUGAUCCUGGCUCAGGAUGAACGCUGGCGGCGUGCUUAACACAUGCAAGUCGAACGGGAAAUAUUUCAUUGAGACUUCGGUGGAUUUGAUCUAUUUCUAGUGGCGGACGGGUGAGUAACGCGUGGGUAACCUGCCUUAUACAGGGGGAUAACAGUCAGAAAUGGCUGCUAAUACCGCAUAAGCGCACAGAGCUGCAUGGCUCAGUGUGAAAAACUCCGGUGGUAUAAGAUGGACCCGCGUUGGAUUAGCUGGUUGGUGGGGUAACGGCCCACCAAGGCGACGAUCCAUAGCCGGCCUGAGAGGGUGAACGGCCACAUUGGGACUGAGACACGGCCCAGACUCCUACGGGAGGCAGCAGUGGGGAAUAUUGCACAAUGGGGGAAACCCUGAUGCAGCGACGCCGCGUGGAGGAAGAAGGUCUUCGGAUUGUAAACUCCUGUUGUUGAGGAAGAUAAUGACGGUACUCAACAAGGAAGUGACGGCUAACUACGUGCCAACAGCCGCGGUAAAACGUAGGUCACAAGCGUUGUCCGGAAUUACUGGGUGUAAAGGGAGCGCAAGCCGGGAGAACAAGUUGGAAGUGAAAUCAUGGGCUCAACCCCACGAACUGCUUUCAAAACUGUUUUUCUGGAGUAGUGCAGAGGUAGGCGGAAUUCCCGGUGUAGCGGUGGAAUGCGUAGAUAUCGGGAGGAACACCAGUGGCGAAGGCGGCCUACUGGGCACCAACUGACGCUGAGGCUCGAAAGUGUGGGUAGCAAACAGGAUUAGAUACCCUGGUAGUCCACACCGUAAACGAUGAUUACUAGGUGUGGGGGGUCUAACCCCCUCCGUGCCGGAGUUAACACAACAAGUAAUCCACCUGGGGAGUACGACCGCAAGGUUGAAACUCAAAGGAAUUGACGGGGGCCCGCACAAGCAGUGGAGUAUGUGGUUUAAUUCGACGCAACGCGAAGAACCUUACCAGGUCUUGACAUCCAACUAACGAAGCAGAGAUGCAUUAGGUGCCCUUCGGGGAAAGUUGAGACAGGUGGUGCAUGGUUGUCGUCAGCUCGUGUCGUGAGAUGUUGGGUUAAGUCCCGCAACGAGCGCAACCCCUAUCCUCAGUAGCCAGCAUUUAAGGUGGGCACUCUGGGGAGACUGCCAGGGAUAACCUGGAGGAAGGCGGGGAUGACGUCAAAUCAUCAUGCCCCUUAUGAUUUGGGCUACACACGUGCUACAAUGGCGUAAACAAAGGGAAGCGAGAUCGUGAGAUGGAGCAAAUCCCAAAAAUAACGUCCCAGUUCGGACUGUAGUCUGCAACCCGACUACACGAAGCUGGAAUCGCUAGUAAUCGCGGAUCAGAAUGCCGCGGUGAAUACGUUACCCGGGUCUUGCACACACCGCCCGUCA
rnacentral:rRNA from 1 species